rfam:Myotis lucifugus cont2.53120, whole genome shotgun sequence.
GGCCGUUCUCAGAUGACACACCCUGGAAUUGGGAUUCCUCCUCUCUGGUUCCAGGGUGCAUCACCCAAGAACAAGUC